AACGCAUAUUGCGCCCCUCGGCAUUCCGAGGGGCACACCCGUCCGAGCGCCGUUCGAACCCUCAGGCCUUGCCUGGCGUUGGGGAGGCCGUGCGGCCCCCCCGAAACCCCUUGGCGACGCAGGGCCGUCCGCGAACGCAGCGAAAACCGCGUCCGGGCGGACCCCGCGGCCGCCGGUCCAUUCGGAAGGUUUGGCCUCGGAUCGGGUGGGGACACCCGCUGAACUUAA
rnacentral:misc_RNA from 1 species